UAAAGUAUAGUGUUUAGAAAAAAAUGUUUGGCCGUUAACCAGAAGAAACUAUAUUUUUUUUUUAGUUGCUUUAU
rnacentral:tRNA from 1 species